rnacentral:rRNA from 1 species
CUACGGAGGGUGCAAGCGUUAUUCGGAAUCACUGGGCGUAAAGGACGCGUAGGCGGGUUGGCAAGUCAGAUGUGAAAUCCUACAGCUUAACUGUAGAACUGCAUUUGAAACUGCUAACCUAGAGUAUGGGAGGGGGAGAUGGAAUUAGUGGUGCAGGGGUAAAAUCCGUAGAUAUCACUAGGAAUACCGAAAGCGAAGGCGAUCUCCUGGAACAUAACUGACGCUAAGGCGUGAAAGCGUGGGGAGCAAACAGGAUUAGAUACCCUAGUAGUCC